UACGUAGGGUGCAAGCGUUAAUCGGAAUUACUGGGCGUAAAGCGUGCGCAGGCGGUUGUGCAAGACAGAUGUGAAAUCCCCGGGCUCAACCUGGGAACUGCAUUUGUGACUGCAAGGCUAGAGUGUGUCAGAGGGGGGUAGAAUUCCACGUGUAGCAGUGAAAUGCGUAGAUAUGUGGAGGAAUACCGAUGGCGAAGGCAGCCCCCUGGGAUAACACUGACGCUCAUGCACGAAAGCGUGGGGAGCAAACAGG
rnacentral:rRNA from 1 species